rnacentral:rRNA from 1 species
UACGGGGGGGGCAAGCGUUGUUCGGAAUUACUGGGCGUAAAGGGCGCGUAGGUGGCCAACUAAGUCAGACGUGAAAUCCCUCGGCUUAACCGGGGAACUGCGUCUGAUACUGGAUGGCCUGAGUUUGGGAGAGGGACGCGGAAUUCCAGGUGUAGCGGUGAAAUGCGUAGAUAUCUGGAGGAACACCGGUGGCGAAGGCGGCGUCCUGGACCAAUACUGACACUGAAACGCGAAAGCCAGGGGAGCAAACGGG